UACGUAGGGGGCGAGCGUUGUCCGGAAUCAUUGGGCGUAAAGAGCUCGUAGGCGGCUUGGCAAGUCGGGUGUGAAAUCUCCGGGCUUAACUCGGAGAGGCCACUCGAUACUGCUAUGGCUAGAGUCCGGUAGGGGACCAUGGAAUUCCUGGUGUAGCGGUGAAAUGCGCAGAUAUCAGGAGGAACACCGGUGGCGAAGGCGGGUCUCUGGGCCGAUACUGACGCUGAGGAGCGAAAGCGUGGGGAGCGAACAGG
rnacentral:rRNA from 1 species